AUGAGUGGCGAACGGGUGAGUAAUACGUGAGUGACCUUCCUUGGACUCUGGGAUAAGCCCGGGAAACUGGGUCUAAUACCGGAUACGACCAGUCCUCGCAUGGGGUGCUGGUGGAAAGGGUUUGUACUGGUUCUUGAUGGGCUCACGUCCUAUCAGCUUGUUGGUGAGGUAAUGGCUUACCAAGGCGACGACGGGUAGCCGGCCUGAGAGGGUGACCGGCCACACUGGGACUGAGACACGGCCCAGACUCCUACGGGAGGCAGCAGUGGGGAAUAUUGCACAAUGGGCGCAAGCCUGAUGCAGCGACGCCGCGUGGGGGAUGACGGCCUUCGGGUUGUAAACCUCUUUCAGCAGGGAAGAAGCGAAAGUGACGGUACCUGCAGAAGAAGCGCCGGCUAACUACGUGCCAGCAGCCGCGGUAAUACGUAGGGCGCAAGCGUUGUCCGGAAUUAUUGGGCGUAAAGAGCUCGUAGGCGGUUUGUCGCGUCUGCUGUGAAAGCCCGGGGCUCAACCCCGGGUGUGCAGUGGGUACGGGCAGGCUGGAGUGCAGUAGGGGAGACUGGAAUUCCUGGUGUAGCGGUGAAAUGCGCAGAUAUCAGGAGGAACACCGAUGGCGAAGGCAGGUCUCUGGGCUGUUACUGACGCUGAGGAGCGAAAGCAUGGGGAGCGAACAGGAUUAGAUACCCUGGUAGUCCAUGCCGUAAACGUUGGGCACUAGGUGUGGGGGACAUUCCACGUUUUCCGCGCCGUAGCUAACGCAUUAAGUGCCCCGCCUGGG
rnacentral:rRNA from 1 species